rnacentral:rRNA from 1 species
CAGUCGCCGCGGUAAUACGAAGGGUGCAAGCGUUACUCGGAAUUACUGGGCGUAAAGCGUGCGUAGGUGGUGGUUUAAGUCCGUUGUGAAAGCCCUGGGCUCAACCUGGGAAUUGCAGUGGAUACUGGGUCACUAGAGUGUGGUAGAGGAUAGUGGAAUUUCCGGUGUAGCAGUGAAAUGCGUAGAGAUCGGAAGGAACAUCUGUGGCGAAGGCGACUAUCUGGGCCAACACUGACACUGAGGCACGAAAGCGUGGGGAGCGAACAGGAUUAGAUACCCGUGUAGUCCCUGUCUCUUAUAC